GAUGAACGCUGGCGGCGUGCUUAACACAUGCAAGUCGAACGGAGUUGUGAUGUGCGAGGGGGACAGCUUGCUGUAGCCCGAGCUUUUCAUGACUUAGUGGCGGACGGGUGAGUAACGCGUGGGUAACCUGCCGUAUACAGGGGGAUAACACUUAGAAAUAGGUGCUAAUACCGCAUAAGCGCACAGCUUUGCAUGAAGCGGUGUGAAAAGGAGCGAUCCGGUAUACGAUGGACCCGCGUCUGAUUAGCCAGUUGGCAGGGUAACGGCCUACCAAAGCGACGAUCAGUAGCCGGCCUGAGAGGGCGGACGGCCACAUUGGGACUGAGACACGGCCCAAACUCCUACGGGAGGCAGCAGUGGGGGAUAUUGCACAAUGGGGGGAACCCUGAUGCAGCGACGCCGCGUGAGUGAAGAAGUAUUUCGGUAUGUAAAGCUCUAUCAGCAGGGAAGAAGAUGACAGUACCUGAAUAAGAAGCCCCGGCUAACUACGUGCCAGCAGCCGCGGUAAUACGUAGGGGGCAAGCGUUAUC
rnacentral:rRNA from 1 species